rnacentral:tRNA from 2 species
GGGGCUGUAGCUCAGUUGGGAGAGUGCUUGACUGGCAGUCAAGAGGUCGCCGGUUCGAUCCCGGUCAGCUCCACCA